rnacentral:piRNA from 1 species
UCCUGUCUUUUCUUGUAUUUC